rnacentral:piRNA from 1 species
UAUCCUAUCCGAAGUUUGUUG